rnacentral:rRNA from 1 species
GACGAACGCUGGCGGCGUGCUUAACACAUGCAAGUCGAACGGAAAGGCCCUGCUUUUGUGGGGUGCUCGAGUUGCGAACGGGUGAGUAACACGUGAGUAACCUGCCCUUGACUUUGGGAUAACUUCAGGAAACUGGGGCUCAUACCGGAUAGGAGCUCCUGCUGCAUGGUGGGGGUUGGAAAGUUUCGGCGGUUGGGGAUGGACUCGCGGCUUAUCAGCUUGUUGGUGGGGUAGUGGCUUACCAAGGCUUUGACGGGUAGCCGGCCUGCGAGGGUGACCGGCCACAUUGGGACUGAGAUAGGGCCCAGACUCCUACGGGAGGCAGGAGUGGGGAAUAUAGCACAAUGGGCGGAAGCCUGAUGCAGCAACGCCGCGUGCGGGAUGACGGCCUUCGGGUUGUAAACCGAUUUCGCCUGUGACGAAGCGUGAGUGACGGUAAUGGGUAAAGAAGCACCGGCUAACUACGUG